GACUGCGAGGUCCCGGCCUGUCCGGGUCCCGGUCCGCGGGGCUGCGGCUGAUGGCUGGAGCGCGCGGCGGAGACUGGGCCGUCCGGAAUGACUGCCCUGCGCCACAACGGCAGGUCCCUGGCGGUCCGUCCCGGAGGCACCGGCCAGUCCGGGCUGAGCGCUCCGGGCCGGUGGCCGUGACGAGUGACGUCCCCAUGGGACCUCCGGGGUGCCUCCCAACUCCGCGGUGAAGCCAAGGUCAGACCCGGCCCCACGCUUUGCUGAGGUUUGGCCCUGGAUUGUCCUUUGCCCACUGCGCACAGGGAAGGAGGGAAAGAGGACCUUUGUCCAGAUCUGUCCGAAAGUUGGGGGACAUUUUUGGGCCAGGAAGAGCCCCAGGGCGAAGCCAAAGCUGAGAGCCUGCCAGCCUUGGGCCAGGCGACUCCCUCGUGCAGGGCCUUUGCUCCUGCUCUUUCCCUGCUCCAAGCAGGGUUCCUCACACGCGGGCUGGAUCCCAGGCCCACCUCUCCUGCCUGCCUCCUGUGUUUUUCCUUGCACUUCUCUCUGAAAUUAGCUCAUUCCCUUAUUUUCCUGUUUCCUGUGUGUCUUUCUUCUCACCCACGCUCUGGAAGGGUGGGAGCCUUGGUGAUCUGGGCACCAGUUCCCCCAGAACAGAGCCUGGCCCAGAGAAACCCCCCAUAGAUGCCCAGGAGGCCUAGGGUGGGCGCAGGGUGGGGAGGGCAAGCCUGGCCUUGAAGGGCCCGACCCCAGGUGAGGAGCUGGGGUCAGUGUUGCAGAAUGACUCAGGGGUUCUGUUCAGAAGAGCCUUGUGCAGGGCCCCCCAGGGGACCCCGCUGAUGCCUGCGUGGCACGGGUGGUCCUUGCAGGGGUUCCCAAGCCCCUGCCCACCUGGACCCAGAGUCACACCUGAGACCGCGGACAAACUCGUAAGCUCACCUGUGGCUGGGGCUGUUCUGUUCCCGCUGCCCCGAUUCCACACCAACUUCAGGGAGACGCCUCGGAACCUCACCCUGGGGCCCCAGCAUGGCGCCCCAGACCUCGUAUGAACCAGCUCCGCCCCUGCCGGCUCUGUGACCUCGGCGAAGCCCUCACCCACCUCCAGCUCGGGGUCCUCUUCCCUGACGCCCAGGCCCUCCUGCCCCAUCUCCUGGCCGCCUCACCCCACUGUCCUACCCCUACUCUGGAAUCUGGAGGGACUGGGUGUUUGAGGGCCUGUGAGUGCCGGGCUCUGUGCCCUACUGCCUGCCCUGCCUGAGCUCACAGCAGAGGGAACAUCUGGUGGGUUCCAGUGGUUCUGCAGGUCAGUGUGGGAGGGUCAGUGGCCCUCCCAGCCCUGGCAACCUUGCCUCUGCCUCACUCUUGGGCUGCAUGGCCUCGUGGACCUCCCUAGGCCCAUCCGGUACCUGCAGGUGCCGCUGGAGCGCAGGGUCCACGUGGCCCUGAUGCGUGGGAGCUGAGCUUGGCCCCUUCCUGGCCCCUCCCUGCAAGAAGACUCAGCCGAUAGCCAGGCUGCGCCAUCCUUGCAGGGCAGGCCUAGGCCCUGGGGGUGGCAGUGCGAGUGCGCAGCCCGCUAGAGUGCAGGGCCGGUCCACAGUCGUCCGGCGCAUGCCUGAGUUGGCCCCGGUGCGCUCCGGCCUCGGUGUGUUGAGGUUGGCCUGGUCACCAUCGCUGUACCACCAGCUGGCGCGUGAGGGCUCGCGGCUGCAGCUGGCAGAGAUGUGGGCCAUCGGCGCAGGGCGUUCAGCCAUGGGGCGUGUGGUGCAGCAUGCUGAAGCCACAGCCCUCCUGGUUGUGGACACCGCCGGAGCCCUGGAACGUGUACCCUGUACGGUGUGGGCCGUGGCACUGCAGCCCUUCAGCUGCACCCCCAUCCUGGAUCCUGGCCAUCUGGGCCCCCCGGCAGGUGGUCCGGGAGGAACAUCCUUUCCCGGAGAGCUGAGGCUGGCAGAAGUAGGCUGAGAAGUUGGGGACUCUGGGGUCCCAACCUUCUCCCCAGCCCCUAGCCCGGGAAGCAUGUCAGCACACCACGAUGCUUGUGGGCAGGGGGGUGGUACGAAAGCCCCCAGCCCUCCCAGGCACUCACCUGCGGCCCUGAGUACAGGCCGAGAGGUAGAGCCAAUAAAACCGGUCUUCCUGGUCCACGCGGAAGCUGUCGUAGCGGGCCCGCAGCGAGUGGUUGCCCAUGUCCCGCAGAUCCACCGUCAGCUCGCUGUGCAGGCCGGGCUGGGAGGUCAGGCCCAAGAUGUGUUCCAGCCCCGGCCAGUGGUCACCCAGGCUCAGGCCUGCCCUGUGUUCUCAACAAGGCCCCGGGGCCCUGGCUGCACGGCCUUCCUACCUCCCCAGUCUCCAAAGCCCUCUUUGUACUCCUGCCGGCACCUCUCAAAUUCCAGCAGCCUCUCCCCGCCCGUCUCACCUCUGAAUCACCGUCCAACCACUGUCUGCACGCUUGUCAUAGAACCUGGGGUGGGGCGAGGACGUCAGCGCCUCCCGUGCUGGCUGGGCCUGGGUGGGUCGGAGGGGCCUGCCCCUCCACGGUCCAGGCGGGAGGGAUGUCGCCCUCCCCUAAGCACUCUUUAUAUGUUUGAGAAAUGAAACCUUGUUGUUUUUCUGCUUGUCAGUGUAAUACAAACUUGCAUUGGAAUACACUAACAUUCUCAGAAAUAGGGUGAAGACUCACAGUAACUCCCCAGGCCUCAGGCUGACGGCUUCAAUUUAAUGGAUGUUAUUUUAUACUUAACUUGUAUCCUGGGCAUCUUUGUUCCCUUGGAAGUAGACUUCUCUUCUCCUUUCCUGACUGUAGCCAGCGCCCAGAGAGCAUCUCUGUUCCAGGUGCAGGUGUCUGAGGAUGGCCUCUGGCCUGGCCCGGCCCUUCCCUCCCAACAGCCCACGGUAACAUAUUUUUGCCAAAGUGAUACACGAACUGCAGGCUGCUCUCCUGGACGGGGCACUGGCUCCUCUGGCUGGCUGGCGUACACACCUCUGGGGCCCUCUGGUUCUCCACCCAGAUCUGAGAGCAGCCUCUCCCUGGGGAAGACUUGGGCCAGGAGGGGUCGGAGUUCUCCGGGUGACCAGACCCAGAGCCCGAGAAGGGCCCGUGGACAGUCCAGCAGGUGACUUACAACCUUGGUCCUGGCAGAUGUGCAGCCACUGUCCUCUCGCCUUGGGCCACACCUGCCUCAGGCCUCUUCCCUUCUGGAAGCCGCUGGCCUUCAGGCUCCUAGCACUUGCUGGCUCCCACCCCUCCGUCAGACCCUCGAUUCCUCCCGCCGCCCCUGGACCCACCUCUCCCUGUGGGU